rnacentral:rRNA from 1 species
CACGUAGGGGGCAAGCGUUGUCCGGAUUUAUUGGGCGUAAAGAGCUCGUAGGUGGUUCGGUAAGUCGGGUGUGAAACCUCCAGGCUCAACCUGGAGACGCCACCCGAUACUGCUGUGACUGGAGUCCGGUAGGGGAGCGUGGAAUGCCGAGUGUAGAGGUGAAAUUCGUAGAUAUUCGGCGGAACACCAGUGGCGAAGGCGACUCACUGGCCCGAUACUGACGCUGAGGCGCGAAAGCGUGGGGAGCAAACAGG